rnacentral:rRNA from 1 species
UAGGGAAUCUUCCACAAUGGACGCAAGUCUGAUGGAGCAACGCCGCGUGAGUGAAGAAGGUUUUCGGACCGUAAAGCUCUGUUGUUGGUGAAGAAGGAUAGAGGUAGUAACUGGCCUUUAUUUGACGGUAAUCAACCAGAAAGUCACGGCUAACUACGUGCCAGCAGCCGCGGUAAUACGUAGGUGGCAAGCGUUGUCCGGAUUUAUUGGGCGUAAAGCGAGCGCAGGCGGAAGAAUAAGUCUGAUGUGAAAGCCCUCGGCUUAACCGAGGAAUUGCAUCGGAAACUGU